rnacentral:lncRNA from 1 species
AUACCCCUUCCAUUCCCUCAUCGUUUGUAAUACCCCUCCUCUCUCUCUCUCCAAAAAGCCAAAGCGGCGAAGCCUAUCUCUUCCCAACUUUUUCUCCUAAAGAUCCUUAGAUUCCUUCUCUUGCGAUAGCGAUAGCGAUACCGAGAAGAUGUGCUGCUUCCCGAGCAAAUCGUGCUGCCUGUGCUUCCUUUUGGUGCUGGUGAUCCUGCUGAUAGGAUUCGUCUUCGGCUUCGGGGUGUUCGCCCAUGGCUUCCACAAGCUCAAGGACACCUUCCACUUGGAAGACGUCGAUGUCCAUGGUACGAGGCCUUUCUUGGGCCAAGGAGCCCCCGCCCCUUUCUAAAGCAUUCUAGGGUUCUUCUCGCCAUGAUCUCAAUCUAUAAUCCUUUUUUUUCUAAUCUUUCCUUUCAUUGUUCUUUGGGUCGGGCUUUUCUGGUGAUCUGCAUUCUUUUCUUGGGAAUUUUUUUGGGGAUCGGGGGGGGAUUUCUUGUGUUUAGUUCUUAGAUCAAGAUCUACUGAUGUGCCGGUGAAAAUUUCAUGGAUUGUACAAAACAAUAUUAUAUUUUUAGUGGAUUUUUAAAUCCAUAUUCGCUUAUGGAUCCUGCGACAUUAUUUGGGGGAAAAAAAAAAAAAUCAGAUGGGAUUGGAUUCAUCAGCUCUCCAGUUUCCUAUAUUUUCUAUUUGUUCGAAGUCGGUUUGAUUCUCUAAUUUUUUUCUAUUUUUAUUAACACAAAAGUAAAGGAAAAGGAAGUUAGUAGCCAAACCAAACAUCCGGUCGGUCGUUUUCAGGGUUUCCGGCCUCAUCCGGUUUGGUUUUCGCUCGGUCUAGACUCUAGAUUUUGCCGGUCCGAGUCAUUGAACCGCGGAACCAAUCCGGACCGGACCGUCACGUGCCCGGAUGGGUGUUGCGGUUGGUGAUGGGAUGUACCUGCCCCACUUGUAUGUUGGGAUAGGUGAGAGUUCUCAGCUCAUCCGCUGACGAAACUUUAGAACUAACCGUUGCUUGAUGUGUUAUUUUAAUUAGUGAUGACCAAGUGGGUGACGUUUUUGCUCGAAAUGAAUAUCCUAUUCAAACCUGGCCUUUUCAUUACGUUUUUUAAUUUGAUAUCAGGCCUGUCCAAAGUCCUUGCACUUCUCUAAAGUCCCUCCCCUUUUGUACGCAUGGGCUAAUGCCCGUGCUAACCUACGCAAAGCCGAAAGUAGAAGGAUCCCUCAGUUUAUGCUGAAUGCCAUGGCCAGCACCAAGGAUUUGCUUGCUAUUUGUUACAGACGCGAUUCGGAAGAGAAGGUCUUGCUAGCUAAUGUCGAUCAUAUAUCAAAGAGAACUUCCUAAUCUUAUGGCACUUAAGAUAUUUUCCAUUACGCGUCAUUAUAAUGUGUAAAUCAAAUUUUUGGACUGUGGAAAAAAUUCUAUCGUCUUCCAUGUCUUGUGCAAAACGUGAUGAUGAAAAGCUGUUAAAUAUUGCAUUAUUUAGAAGCCACGCGAGGGGAAAAAAAAAACUUGCCAAAUGUCUCUUCGGAGAAGGGGUUGUUUGGAACCCCUGGGUGAAGUGUAUUGCAACUUCUUUUCCUAUUUUUUAUUUUUUUGAUUGAGAAACAAGCCAUCCAAUAUUCGGUAAUUCAAGUUGCAAUGUAGCUUGAGUUGUAGGUGCUCCAUCUGCAGGGCCUCCAGCUCUUCCGUUUGGUGAAUGAGGGGGAGGAAGGUGGGGGAGAUACCAAGAUGAUGCUGCCAUGGUAUCUCUCUCUCUCUCUCUCUUUCCCCCUCUCUCUCUAUAUAUAUAGAGAGAGAGAGAGAGAAAGAGAGAUUAGAAUUAGACUAAUUAGAUAUGGAUUUAGAUUUGAUCAGAUCAAAAUUUUAUAAUAAAAUUUUAUAUUGAUAAUUUAAAUCAUUGAAUAUGAUUUACUAUCUCAAAAUCUUUCAUACACAAAAAAAAAAUAUGAUUUAGAGGUUCCUAACUUAUACAUUAAAUAGUCAAAAAUUAGAUAAUCUAAAUUAAAUUAAAUAUAUUUUUUAAUAAUUUGAUGCAUAUACUAGAUGUCUCCAAUCAUAUAUUUUUGAAUGUGCAAAUAGUAGAUUGCAUUCAACGAUUUAGAUUAUCGAUGUAGAACCUCAUUAUAAAGUUUUGAUCUAAAAGGAUCUCAAUCCAAAUUCGAUCGAUCUUAUCUAAGUCUAUUCAUACACACACACACACACACACAC